CCAAUAGCGUAUAUUAAAGUUGUUGCAGUUAAAAAGCUCGUAGUUGGAUUUCUGGUGGGAGCGAUCGGUCUGGCGCUUAGCGCGAGUACUUGCAUCGUCUCCGGCCAUCCUUGGGGAGAGUCUGUCUGGCAUUAAGUUGUCGGGCAGGGGAUCCUCAUCGUUUACUGUGAAAAAAUUAGAGUGUUCAAAGCAGGCUUAUGCCGUUGAAUAUAUUAGCAUGGAAUAAUAAGAUAGGACUUUGGUACUAUUUUGUUGGUUUGCGCACCAAAGUAAUGAUUAAUAGGGACAGUUGGGGGUAUUCGUAUUCCGUUGUCAGAGGUGAAAUUCUUGGAUUUACGGAAGACGAACUACUGCGAAAGCAUUUACCAAGGAUGUUUUCAUUAA
rnacentral:rRNA from 1 species